rnacentral:tRNA from 2 species
GGAGAGGUGGUCGAGUGGUUUAUGGCUCCAGUCUUGAAAACUGGCGUGGCAGAAAUGUCACCGUGGGUUCGAAUCCCACCCUCUCCG